rnacentral:lncRNA from 10 species
GUUUUCUGUAGUGGCUGUUCCAUUUUACAUUCCCAGAAGCAAUGCACAAGGGUCCCAAUUUCUCCGCAUCCUUGCCAACACUUGUUAUUUUCUUUUUUGAUAAUAGUCAUCCUGAUGGGUGUGAGGCGCUAUCUCAUUGUGGUUUUGAUUUGCAUUUUCCUAAUAACUAGCAAUGUUGAGCCUCUUUUCAUGUGCUUAUUGGUCAUUUGUAUAUCUUGUUUGGAGAAAUGUCUAUUCAAGCCCUUUGCCCAUUUUUGAAUUUGUUUUUUUUAUUGUUCAGAAACACUUUUAAAAGCGGUGCCAAGAGCUGCCUGUGCUGAAAAGGAGUGAGCGAGUGAGUGGCAGAAGGGAAGAUGCAAGAGAGAGGACACAAAGGAGUGCAGAGAGGGGGAAAGGGUCAAGAUUUGUUUUGUGGAAUGUGGGGGUGAGGGAGGGCCUUCCCUCAAUUCUUUUUUUUUUUUUUUUCUUUUUUAGAUGGCGUCUUGCACUGUCGCCCAGGCUGGAGUGCAGUGGCACUAUCUUGGCUCACUGCAAGCUCCGCAUCCCGGGUUCACGCCAUUCUCCUGCCUCAGCCUGCUGAGUAGCUGGGACUACAGGCACCUGUGACCACACCCAGCUAAUAUUUUUUUUUUGUAUUUUUAGUAGAGACGGAGUUUCACCGUGUUAGCCAGAAUGGUCUCGAUCUCCUGACCUCGUGAUCCACCCGCCUCAGCCUCCUAAAGUGCCUCAAUUCUUUUAUUCAACAAAUAUUUAUUGAGCAUCUACUAUGUGCAGACACUUCUGAGGGGUUGCUGUCUAUACCUGUUUGACUCAGUUCACCAUGCUGGCUGUCUGACUACACUGAUCCUGUUCAGCUGCCAGGGCCAGCCUCUGGGAGGCAGUGCUUAUAGUCACAGCCCAUUGACUCUGCAGUCAGGCUAGGGAUUGAGUCCCUAAAGUGGUGUGGUACAGCUUAGGACAGGUUACAUGACCUCUUUGAGCUCCCCAUUUCCCAUUUAUAAAAUGAAGCUAAUAAGAGAAAUGAAACAUGUCAAGUGCAGUGGGGGACAGCACAGAGUGAGACAUAUGCCUCAGCCAGCCACAGCAGCUUUCAUCCCCUGUGAGGGCCAGCCUGCCCUCUGCCUCCUCCCUGCUCCACAAGCAGCUUCCUGCACCCUGACCUGCUCCUCAGCAGUGGUCUGAUUCAUGGAAUUGCAGCCCCUCCAGCCAGGGCUCCAGUGGCCCUCUCUCGUGAGUGCUCUGCAGCUGCUUGACAGGUAGAGGUAGACACCUGCCCUGGGCAGUACCAGCCAGUCAGGAGGCAGGACCCAGGAACCUGCAAAAGCAACGUGGGAGUGUGAAGAGUGGGGUUCCCCUGAUGGGAGAGGCAAGGAGGCAGGGACCAGCAGGGGCUGGGGGGGUGGCCUCAGGGUUGGGGGGGGUCUCCCCAUCUCGGAAACAGGAAACUUGUAAUCCGGACUGACGUGGGAGCUUGGAUUUUGUGAUUGAGAAUUCAGGGCCCUUUCUUCACCAAAAAGCUGCUCUGUGCCUCUGUCUGCCCCUACCCCAGGGCUUCCUCUGUCCCUGAUACCUGUACGCUUUGCUGCUGUCACAUAGCCCGGAGCUUAGGAGGGCAAAUCCUAGGGCCUGGGGCCUUUUCAGUCUCAGUCCUGGAGCCCAGCUGAGUCUAGCUUCUUGAAGAGAAUUCUAAUUUUUUAUUUCCUUUCCCUCCUGAAUACAAAUGUGAUUCAUGUAAGGGUAAUGUACAGCACAGUGGGUGCGAGCGCAGGCCCUGGUCAGAGGGUCUGAGUUCAGGUGCUGCCUCUACCCCUCAUUAGCUGCCUGUGCCAUGUUGGGCAAGUUACUGAUUCCCUUUGAGCUUCAGUUUCUUCCCGUGAAAAAUAAGGAUAACAAAUCCCUCCCUCAUGAAAUUGCUCUGAGGAGCUUGCUGGGGCCUGGCGCUCAGGAAGAGCCUGCUGUUAGCUACUCAUAACAUGAUAUGCAAACAAAAAGAAGUGUCCAGGAAGACUGUCAAUCAUGACUCAUAUUCAGGACACCCUGCAGAGGUGGGGACGGAAAGCUGAGCUGGGAAAAUCCCAAAUGACGUCUAAAGUGACCUGUUGAGAAAUUUUGACAGGUAAGUCCUAAUAAUGCAGAAAGCGGGGAAUAGGACCUCAAGAGGAGAACCAGGGCAUUUCACUUUAAUAAAAGAAUAGCAAUACCAGCCUCACAGGGCUGCGUGCAGGUAAAGGGGCUCAUGAAUGAGGAGUGUACACUUAGCUUGGGGCUUGGGGCCUUGUGUUGGUUCAGUCAGCAUUGGAGCUUGGUACUGAACAUAGGGAUGGAGCCACCUCCCCAGAAGGGCCUUGCCUGACCACCUGGUUUAAAGUGAGACCCCCUUUACUCUCACAGCAUCCUGUUGUUUUUCAGCCUAGGUUGUAAUUACACACGUCUAUUUACUUGUCCAGCAGAGCGGGGGCUGCGUCUGUUUCCACUGCUCCAUCCUAGCACUGACAGCAGGGGCACAGUCAAUGUUGAAUGAAUGGCGGUCUCCUCCCCGUCUUCUUCAGGCAAAGCUGGCUAGGAAUUCUGCCUUUUUUUUUUU